rnacentral:rRNA from 1 species
AUUGAACGCUGGCGGCAGGCUUAACACAUGCAAGUCGAGCGAGCGGCGGACGGGUGAGUAAUGUAUGGGGAACUGCCCGAUAGAGGGGGAUAACUACUGGAAACGGUCGCUAAUACCGCAUACUAUCGGAUGAACCCAUAUGGGAUUAGCUAGUAGGUGGGGUAAAGGCUCACCUAGGCGACGAUCUCUAGCUGGUCUGAGAGGAUGAGCAGCAACACUGGGACUGAGACACGGCCCAGACGCGUACGGGAGGAAGAAGUGGGAAAUAUUGCACAAUGGGGGAAAGCUUGAUGCAGCCAUGCCGCGGGUAUGAAGAAGGCCUUAGGGUUGUAAAGUACUUUCAGCGGGGAGGCGUUACCCGCAGAAGAAGCACCGGCUAACUCCGUGCCAGCAGCCGCGGUAAUAC